UGAAGAACCUUGAAACGCCCAACGCAAACACAUAAUGGGCUGUGAAUGGCUCAAUAAUCUUGACAUUCUGCAUCAAAUGAAGCUGAGGCAGCACGGAGACGCCUUCUAUAUACACAGCAAAAGCCCAGAGUAUACUGAGAAUAAGAUUAUUCGUCCGAGGAUGGAUAAAGAAAGCUAUCACCAAAGAAGGUACUAUCAUGGUAUAUUUCUUCAUGUUAUCCAAAUCUUCCAUGUAGGAUGACUUCAACUUGUAUUUCAUCAUAAAUAUAAGCCAGAACGUUGCCACGAGAGUGA
rnacentral:misc_RNA from 1 species